UGGGGGAUUUUGCACAAUGGGCGCAAGCCUGAUGCAGCGACGCCGCGUGAGGGAUGAAGGUCUUCGGGUUGUAAACCUCUUUCGCUGGGUUGAAAGGCCAUGCUUUGGGUGUGGUUGAUUUGAACUGGUAAAGAAGUACCGGCUAACUACGUGCCAGCAGCCGCGGUAAUACGUAGGGUACUAGCGUUGUCCGGAUUUAUUGGGCGUAAAGGGCUUGUAGGUGGUUUGUCGCGUCUGUCGUGAAAUCCUGUGGCUUAACCAUGGGCUUGCGGUGGGUACGGGCAGGCUUGAGUGCGGUAGGGGAGACUGGAAUUCCUGGUGUAGCGGUGGAAUGCGCAGAUAUCAGGAGGAACACCGGUGGCGAAGGCGGGUCUCUGGGCCGUUACUGACACUGAGGAGCGAAAGCGUGGGGAGCGAACAGG
rnacentral:rRNA from 1 species